rnacentral:rRNA from 1 species
GGGCUAAUAUCCUUUACUAAUGACGGUACCUGAAGAAUAAGCACCGGCUAACUACGUGCCAGCAGCCGCGGUAAUACGUAGGGUGCAAGCGUUAAUCGGAAUUACUGGGCGUAAAGCGUGCGCAGGCGGUUUUGUAAGUCUGACGUGAAAUCCCCGGGCUCAACCUGGGAAUUGCGUUGGAGACUGCAAGGCUAGAAUCUGGCAGAGGGGGGUAGAAUUCCACGUGUAGCAGUGAAAUGCGUAGAGAUGUGGAGGAACACCGAUGGCGAAGGCAGCCCCCUGGGUCAAGAUUGACGCUCAUGCACGAAAGCGUGGGGAGCAAACAGGAUUAGAUACCCUGGUAGUCCACGCCCUAAACGAUGUCUACUAGUUGUCGGGUUUUAAUUAACUUGGUAACGCAGCUAACGCGUGAAGUAGACCGCCUGGGGAGUACGGUCGCAAGAUUAAAACUCAAAGGAAUUGACGGGGACCCGCACAAGCGGUGGAUGAUGUGGAUUAAUUCGAUGCAACGCGAAAAACCUUACCUACCCUUGACAUGUACGGAAGACCGAAGAGAUUUGGUUGUGCUCGAAAGAGAACCGUAACACAGGUGCUGCAUGGCUGUCGUCAGCUCGUGUCGUGAGAUGUUGGGUUAAGUCCCGCAACGAGCGCAACCCUUGUCAUUAGUUGCUACAUUCAGUUGAGCACUCUAAUGAGACUGCCGGUGACAAACCGGAGGAAGGUGGGGAUGACGUCAAGUCCUCAUGGCCCUUAUGGGUAGGGCUUCACACGUCAUACAAUGGUACAUACAGAGGGCCGCCAACCCGCGAGGGGGAGCUAAUCCCAGAAAGUGUAUCGUAGUCCGGAUCGCAGUCUGCAACUCGACUGCGUGAAGUUGGAAUCGCUAGUAAUCGCGGAUCAGCAUGUCGCGGUGAAUACGUUCCCGGGUCUUGUACACACCGCCCGUCACACCAUGGGAGCGGGUUUUACCAGAAGUAGGUAGCUUAACCGCAAGGAGGGCGCUUACCACGGUAGGAUUCGUGACUGGGGUGAAGUCGUAACAAGGUAGCCGUAUCGGAAGGUGCGGCUGGAUCACCUCCUUU